rnacentral:lncRNA from 1 species
AUUCGCGUCUGCGAGCUCCGGAGUGACUUUCCCUUCCUGUGAAGGCAAUCCGGCCCUUUCCGGUGGAGGACCCUUCCCCCUGGGUUGAUCUUGAGGAACUUAAGAGACGGUGUUUUGACUCGACUCCUUUCCCCUUUUUCCUCCCGUCCAAAGUGCGGGGCUUAUAUUGUUAGAAGACCACUUAAAAUGCUCCUGGAUUCUGACAAAUAUUGCAUGAGAAAUUUGCAAUCAGCCGUGAAGCAUGUUUCCCCUUCUGAAAGUUUAACACGUGCCGUAUCUACGGCUGGGAUCUAACACAUCCCAUUCCUACAGGGUAUCAAUAGUUUUCUACAGGUUCGGGACUACACUGUUUAAUAUAUAACCCCAACCCUUGGUACCGCACUGACCUUCAGUAUUUGGUUGCUGAAAUCUUCAAUGAUGAAAGGGCUGAGAUCCAGACCUUCUUAGAGAGAACACAGCCAGUGGAGAGUCACUCUAUGGCAGGAAAUAUUCUGUAUUGCCUUACAGGCAGAACUUGCUGAAACUCCAACCUCUGGAAAUUACUGGAACCCUGCAUUCUAGAACUUGCUGGAAACCCACCCUCUGGAAUUGGCCUGCUAGAGUGCCUGAGAAGGAUGUUCAUAGGGAAAUGUUUCAGCAGAGGAACUCUACUACAAAAACCACAAGAGGGAGGGUGCCAGGGGAAGUGGCCUGGUGCUAUUGAAACUGCAACACAGAAGCCAGCCACUGGAGAGAGCUGCACAAGCUGCAGGAACACCCUACCCAGUAAGCCGGCCAGAAGGAGGGAGCAAAACCUUUUCUCUCUGCAACAUCUUUCCAGUUUCCUCUACUGGAAAAGCUUCAUUGCCAGCUGACAAAAGGAAAAAUACUUAAAUGGAUCAGAUCCAUUUUCACAGAGCAGUCAAUAAUGGUGAAUUUGGAGAUGAUAAGCAACAAAUUGAUGAACUGGCACAACUUCCCUGCUACUUUCUUGAUUGUAAUGCCUAGAUAGGGAAUAGGAAAGUUAUUGAAAUGUAUGUGUUCCCAUGAAAUGUGUUUAUUUGUUGUUCAAGAUCAAUACUAAUAAAUGGGGACUAAUGUUCUGAAGUAUUUUGGAACAAUUAGAAUCACCACUCUUAACCCUGUGGCCAAAGUCUUAAAUGGACAGGGAGGAAAAUGUUUAUAAACUGAAGCAAAAAUUGAUCUACAUAGAAAAUAAAUCUGGAGUAUUUACUUGGGACUCUGCAGAGUUCCCCCUGGCAAGAAUGUUCUCACCAGAUGCAGCCUGUCAAUCUUGGACUUCCCAGCCUCCAGAAUCAUGAGGUAAAGAAACCUUUAUUUUUUAUAAAUUUCUUUUCUCAAAUAUUUAGUUAUAGCAACAUCAAGCAAAUGAAGACAAGCUAUUGUCAAAAAGACAAAAGAUAACAAGUGUUGGCAAGCAUGUAAGGAAAAAGAAACUCUUGCACACUGUUAGUGGAAAUAUAAAUUAGUACAACCAUUAUGGAAAAUUUUAUGGAGGUUCCUAAAAAUGUUAAAAAAAGAGCUACUAUAUGAUGUUACUACUGGUUAUAUAUCAAAACAAAAUGAAAUCAGUAUGUACAAAAGGUAUUUUCACUCCCAUGUUUAUUGCAGCAUUAUUUACAGUAGCCAAGAUAUGGAAUCAACCCAACUGUCCAUCAACAGAUAAAUGAAUAAGGAAAAUAUGGUAUAUACACAGUGGAAUACUAUUCAUUCAUUGAAAAGAAGGAAAUCCUGCCAUUUGCAUCAACAUGGAUGAACCUGGAGGAUAUUAAGUGAAACAAGCCAGGCACAGGAAGACAAAUACCACAUGCUUUCACUCAUAUAUGUGGAGCAUUGUACCCUGGAAUGCCAGUUCCUUGAUGAAGAGAUUGGAUUUUUUUGACUGAAUUCUAUAUACUUCUCCAAGUACCUGGUAUUUAGCGGCCUCUCAGCUAUUACUAAUACUUGUUUGGUCCUGGAGAUGUUUAAUAAUUACCUGUUGCUUUAUCUUGAGGAUAGCAGUCAAGUAGAAUGAAGACUGCUGAGGUGAAAAACAGACACACAAAAGCCUAAAUAGCCGAGAGUCCUCAGUUCACUGGAGGCUCCAGAUAUCUUCACAAUUGUAAAGACAGAAACAAAAAAUUUGAAAAAUACCAAAAGGAAAAAUAAGUGCAAACCAAAACAGGGAAUGACAAAGGAAGCCAUCUGAAGAUGCCUUCAUCAUCUGAACAUUUCUCAGUUGCUAUUUUACUUUUUGAAAGUAGACUGUUAUUUAAGAGUCAAUUGCAUUUAUCUGUGCCUCAUCUCCCCUAUUUAUUAUGCCUCCUCAAGGCAUUGGACAAUGUUAACCACAUUCCUUUUAACUCCCCAGAACAUUGAGUCUUAUGCAUCAAGUGAGAGCAAUUUAUAAGCCCUUCGUUAUGUUUUCCCGGAAACUAGAUGAAAGUGUUUUAAGUAAGGAGAAAUCACUUAAAAUGGUAAGCUUGUCUAUUUCUCUGCAUGGUUGAGGACGUCCAGCUGCUCUGGGCUGCAGUUUGUGUCCUGCCAUCCCUGCAAAACUUCUGCCUGAUAUCUGCCUUCACCACCACCCAACCCAAAGCAACUCUGAUUCUGGCAAGCUGACCUCUCUUUUUUCAGGGCAAUUUAUCUCUCCCUGUGCCCUGGGAGAGGCCAGACAACAGUCCUGAGAGACGCUGCCAGCAAGUUGUUUAUGCCAGGAGAGUGUUGCCCUACCCGUGGCCUCACUGCAGAGCCCUCUAUGGAGAGGGGAUGUAUCUGAUUCUGAUGUUCUUUUACAAAUCAAAUUUCUGCAUUUUAAUUUUUGUACCUCUUCUCAGACGCUGCAUUGUAUGAUAGAAUAUUUAUUUUAUUAUUAAAAAUGGUGAAUUAACUAGCACAUUGCUUUUUCUAUCUUAAUAACGACUAUCUUAAUUCUGUAAAAUUAUAAUGUAAGUCUUGAGUAAAGUAGUCAUUGCAGUAUUUUAUAAUCCUAGUCAUAUACCAGAGCUUUCUCAAGGGGAAAAGUAUUAUAGUUAUCUCUUCAAUAUUUGCUUAUGUGAAACAGUUAUUAACACCGUUUAUAGCUAACCCUGUCUGUAGUGACUGUUUUGAGAACCCUAAAUCUCUAAUUUAAAGGCCCAAGAUUUUAUCAGUUUGUAUGGAACCUGUGUUUGCUCCUCAGUCCUGGUUUCCUAAUAAACUUAUGAAGAUAUUUGUGAUGGAUUUCUGAAGAUUUCGAGUACAUGUGAGGGGAUUCAGUACAAAUUACAGGGAUUCAACACAUUGACAGCAGGAAAAAUGUAAUGAAUUGUUAGGUGGGGAAUGAUGUAAAGUGAAGUAAUCUGAAUAAAAGCCUAUAUUAUAUUUGUUAGCUGACUUAGUUUAUCUUUGUUGUCACUGAGGAAGCAUAAUUUUUUAUCUUCAGUAAUAGUGUAAGUUAUUGUACAAAGCCUAAAAAUUAGUAUUCUCUUUGUAAACAAAAGAGUAUCUGAGACAAGUCUCAAUCAUUUUAGAAGUUUAUUUUGCCAAAAUUAAGGACACGCCCGUGACAAAGCCUCAGGAGGUCCUGAAAAUAUGGGCACAAGGUGGUUGAGCUACAACUGGUUUUAUACAUUUUAGGGAGACAUAAAACAUCAAUACACAUAACCUGUGCAUUGGUUCUUUCUGAAAAGGCAGGACAACUAAAAGUGGGGGCUUCCAGGUCAUAGACAGAUUCAAAGAUUUUCUGAUUGGCAAUUGGUUGAAAGAGUUAUUACCUAAAGACCUGGAAUAAAUAGAAAGGAAUCUGGGUUAUAAUAAG